UACGGAGGGAGCUAGCGUUGUUCGGAAUCACUGGGCGUAAAGCGCACGUAGGCGGCUUUGCAAGUUAGAGGUGAAAGCCCGGGGCUCAACUCCGGAACUGCCUUUAAGACUGCAUCGCUUGAAUCCGGGAGAGGUGAGUGGAAUUCCGAGUGUAGAGGUGAAAUUCGUAGAUAUUCGGAAGAACACCAGUGGCGAAGGCGGCUCACUGGACCGGUAUUGACGCUGAGGUGCGAAAGCGUGGGGAGCAAACAGG
rnacentral:rRNA from 1 species